rnacentral:tRNA from 1 species
GUCCCUAUAGCUUAAUGGAUAAAGCACAACCCUCCGAAGGUUGACAUCUCCGUUCGACUCGGAGUGGGGACA